AGUUAGUGGCGGACGGGUGAGUAACGCGUGGGUAACCUGCCUUACACAGGGGGAGUAACACUUAGAAAUAGGUGCUAAAACCGCAUAAGCGCACAGCUUCGCAUGAAGCGGUGUGAAAAACUCCGGUGGUGUAAGAUGGACCCGCGUCUGAUUAGCUUGUUGGCGGGGUAACGGCCCACCAAGGCGACGAUCAGUAGCCGGCCUGAGAGGGCGGACCGGCCACAUUGGGACUGAGACACGGCCCAGACUCCUACGGGAGGCAGCAG
rnacentral:rRNA from 1 species